rfam:Paenibacillus sp. MAEPY2 contig13, whole genome shotgun sequence.
UAACCGGUGAAAGUCUGGUCGAGGUAAGAGCCAAGUCGCCUCGUAGCUGACGGGCAACUGGUGGAGAAAUUCUAAGGUUGAAGCCCCGUGACAAAGUAACUUCCACGGAAGUGCGAGCAAAUCUACAGGCAAUACCAUGA